rnacentral:rRNA from 1 species
UACACUCCUACGGGAGGCAGCAGUGGGGAAUAUUGCACAAUGGGCGCAAGCCUGAUGCAGCCAUGCCGCGUGUAUGAAGAAGGCCUUCGGGUUGUAAAGUACUUUCAGCGGGGAGGAAGGCGAUAAGGUUAAUAACCUUGUCGAUUGACGUUACCCGCAGAAGAAGCACCGGCUAACUCCGUGCCAGCAGCCGCGGUAAUACGGAGGGUGCAAGCGUUAAUCGGAAUUACUGGGCGUAAAGCGCACGCAGGCGGUCUGUCAAGUCGGAUGUGAAAUCCCCGGGCUCAACCUGGGAACUGCGUUCGAAACUGGCAGGCUAGAGUCUUGUAGAGGGGGGUAGAAUUCCAGGUGUAGCGGUGAAAUGCGUAGAGAUCUGGAGGAAUACCGGUGGCGAAGGCGGCCCCCUGGACAAAGACUGACGCUCAGGUGCGAAAGCGUGGGGAGCAAACAGGAUUAGAUACCCCAGUAGUCCC